rnacentral:rRNA from 1 species
UAGGGAAUUUUCGUCAAUGGGGGGAACCCUGAACGAGCAAUGCCGCGUGAGUGAAGAAGGUCUUCGGAUCGUAAAGCUCUGUUGUAAGAGAAAAACGGACUCCAUAGGGAAUGAUGGAGGAGUGAUGGUAUCUUACCAGAAAGCCACGGCUAACUACGUGCCAGCAGCCGCGGUAAUACGUAGGUGGCGAGCGUUAUCCGGAAUCAUUGGGCGUAAAGGGUGCGUAGGUGGCACGAUAAGUCUGUAGUAAAAGGCAGCGGCUCAACCGCUGUUGGCUAUGGAAACUGUCGAGCUGGAGUGCAGAAGAGGGCGAUGGAAUUCCAUGUGUAGCGGUAAAAUGCGUAGAUAUAUGGAGGAACACCAGUGGCGAAGGCGGCCGCCUGGUCUGCAACUGACACUGAAGCACGAAAGCGUGGGGAGCAAAUA